rnacentral:rRNA from 1 species
CCGGAGCUUAAUACCGGAUACGAAGCCGAGUGGCAUCACUCAGUUUGGAAAGGACUUCGAAUGGGGAUGGGCCCGCGGCCUAUCAGCUAGUUGGUGAGGUAACGGCCCACCAAGGCGNCGCGGGUAGCCGGCCUGAGAGGGCGCCGGCCACACUGGGACUGAGACNCGGCCCAGACUCCUACGGGAGGCAGCAGUGGGGAAUAUUGCGCAAUGGGCGAAAGCCUGACGCAGCGACGCCGCGUGAGGGAUGACGGCCUUCGGGUUGUAAACCUCUUUCAGCAGGGACGAAGCGCAAGUGCGG